AUUUUGCAUGCUUGUGUAAUACCCUAACAAAACCUUAAGUCCAUAAGAUGAGCCCCAUGUGAUAAUCUUAAAUGCAUGUGAUAUUAGCCUCAACUUUCUGACCAGAAAUGAUUUUCUCUAACAAUUGCAUUACCAAGUUUUAACUUUUGCACAACUAAAUUGACCAUCUUAACUAACACCUAGGGAGAGUAUGAUCUGGAGUUUUUGGGUUGCAGAAAAGCUCAACUGAAGCGCAUGGCAUUUCAUCAAGCACCUUUGGUGCAUGGCCAGAUUUGGCAUGAGCUUGUACUGCACUUCAGAGUUGCUCCACUAACCCUAAGUCUUUGUCCAUCGCAUUGGCCUUAACCCAUAACUCGAGCCUGGUAAGUCUAAGCAAUCUUGGAUGUGUGUGGUAGUGCUGGGCAUUGCGUCGAACACCUUGGUGCGUGCUUUGGGGGCACCCAGAGCGCACGUUUGGCACGCGUGUGUGCCAAGCCGCCGCGUCCAUGCACACCUUGCCCUUUUGGUCUGCUGCAGAGUCACGUCACCGCUCCUCCCCGACCAGUAGUUGCCACCACUCUGCACGCGUAGUACCUCAGCGGCGCAAUAGCCGUGGCAUCUGGCCGACGUCCUCUUUGCUGCUGUAGUGGUCGGCGCUGCUCGAGUUCCUCCAGUGCGCCAGCUGCUCGUGGUCCUUCCCUUUGAAUCAUCCUCUAGCUACUGCCGACCCUGCUGAGCCCCGUGCCACCCUUGUGCACCUGAACCAUCGCCAGAGUCUGUUGCCGGCGUGCUUAUCCGUAGCUGCCGCGGAACCGUCGUUGCUCGACUAUAAAAGGGUUGACUAGAGCCUUCCGAGCGUCUCACCAGCCCCCUCCGACUCGCAGCUCGCUCCCCCUUGCGCAAAUUCGAUCAGAGCCCCUCAUCUUGCCCUCCCUGUCGCCGCAGCACCGUCAGCCAUCUCUGCGUAAAUUCGGGCUGCCCCGAGUCCGGCUGCUCUUCUGUAGCCACAUCUAGCCUCCCUCAGCCACCGCAAAUCAAUCCCCACACCAAUUUUGGCCCGGGAACCACCCUAGCCGGAGUUCCCCUCCUGCCCGACGCCUCCGUCCGCCAUGAGCUAAGUCGUGCCUAGACGGAGCACACCGGGUGCUCCUCUACCCUCCACGUGGUGCGACUCAUCCUCCAGAGCUCGUGGAUGGGUCAAGCAUCAAGGAUGGUGCCCUGUGCCACCUGUGAGCGUCGCUGGAAAUCUCCCUGGCCCUGUCCCUGUCCCCUACGCGCGAGAGGAGGAAGGGGAAAACCCAACAUGCGGGCCCCGCCUGUCAGCGAGGCAAGCCUCGGCCUCGAUGACGCAGCCGUGUCUAUGCGCUUCUCUCCAGAGAAGUUGUAACGCGAUUGCGUACGGAGAGGAGCACGAUGCAGUCAACCCUAGAAGCUAGGAGUCCAGGAUAUCAGCCUUGUGAGAUAGGAAUUUAUCCAGGUCAGCUGUUCUUGUGGGAAUGGAGUCCCCUAGGCACUGGAGAAUCCUCGAGUCGCUCCCGUCGUCAGCCUCUGACCUUGUCCAAACCAAUAGACCUUUAUGAUCUUGUAACCUAGAUUUUGUAUUUUUGCUUGGAUAUUCUAUAUCAAGUAAGUGUCUACCAGCUAACAAUAGUCAUGGGGCUGGUGAACACAAAGCCCUGUUUUCUGGAUUUUUUUGAAAAA